rnacentral:rRNA from 1 species
UACGUAGGGGGCAAGCGUUGUCCGGAAUCAUUGGGCGUAAAGAGCGUGUAGGCGGCCUGGUAAGUCCGCUGUGAAAGUCCACGGCUCAACCCUGGAAUGCCGGUGGAAACUGUCAGGCUCGAGUCCGGAAGAGGCGAGUGGAAUUCCUGGUGUAGCGGUGAAAUGCGCAGAUAUCAGGAGGAACACCAAUGGCGAAGGCAGCUCGCUGGGACGGUACUGACGCUGAGACGCGAAAGCGUGGGGAGCAAACAGG